UACGUAGGUGGCAAGCGUUGUCCGGAAUUAUUGGGCGUAAAGCGCGCGCAGGUGGUCCUUUAAGUCUGAUGUGAAAGCCCACGGCUCAACCGUGGAGGGUCAUUGGAAACUGGGGGACUUGAGUGCAGAAGAGGAUAGUGGAAUUCCAAGUGUAGCGGUGAAAUGCGUAGAGAUUUGGAGGAACACCAGUGGCGAAGGCGACUAUCUGGUCUGUAACUGACGCUGAGGAGCGAAAGCGUGGGGAGCGAACAGG
rnacentral:rRNA from 1 species